AAAUAUAAAAAAAAAAAAGGAAAUUUCAUUUGAGCCACCAAAACUCCGACCCUUGGAGUUCUUUGGCCUCUGACGCGCCGUUCAUGCACCCGCCGUACCGCCACCGUCUCCGACGGCCGACGAAGCGCUUGAGAGGCGUUCGAAGCCCUCUCUUCAGUGCAAGUGGCGAUGGGACGUGCGGCGGCAGAAGCGGCGGUGGCAGGGCAAGUGGGCGACGUGACCGUGACGGUGGCGGCUGGUCAGCAGAUGCGGCGCUAGGGUUUCUUUUCUGAAACCCUAGUUUGACUUUGGGGGGAUUGGGCCAGUUGGGUAGUUGGGCUAGGUUUGGGUUUCAGGUUAGGCUAGUUGGGUAUUGGGUUGCUGAUUUGGGCUUUGGUUUGUAAUUGGGUAGUUGGGGGUUUAAUUGUUUUUGUUUAGUUUAAGGUUAAUUGGGUUUUGGGCUAAAAAUUGGGCUUGUACAGAUCCUAUUUUAGGAAAAUAGUACAAAAGUUUUACUUGAAUAAUGAGUAAUUAAAUAGUAUUGUUUUAAUAUGAUA